rnacentral:lncRNA from 1 species
CUAUCUAUCUAUCUUGGUUAAGUUAGAGUGUAGUUGGUUCUCCCGUUUCCCUGUGGAUACGAUAAAACCUUUAACCGGGUAAAAGCUACAAUGGUAUCCGUGCGCUUGCGGAUUUAUCUAUGUGCGUAUAAAUACCAUAGUACACUCUAGUGCCAUGCCGGGGAUGACAACCUAGUAUUCAAGUGGUGUUAGCAACUGUCAACAAGCAUUUUUGGCGCCGUUGCCGGGGAGACGGUUGCGGAGUUGACUACGAACUAGCUUAAUCAUUUUCUAAAAAAUAAAAAAAAUUCUUUUAUCUUUUGCCUUAUCUCUGCUAUUCUUUCUUCUUAUCUAAUCCUUGAUCUCUGGUCUAUCAUGAAUUCAAACAUGUCUAUCUAUGAAUUUCAUAGACCUACGGGCACACAUCUCGAACCACCAAAAUCUUCAAAGCCUAUCAUAGCUUCUAGUUUUGAGAUAGACCCCGAAUACAUAGAAUUUGUUCAAAAACAACCUUUCUCAGGAGA